rnacentral:rRNA from 1 species
UACGAAGGGGGCUAGCGUUGUUCGGAAUCACUGGGCGUAAAGGGCGCGUAGGCGGCUUUAUAAGUCGGGGGUGAAAGCCUGUGGCUCAACCACAGAAUUGCCUUCGAUACUGUAGAGCUUGAGACCGGAAGAGGUAAGUGGAACUGCGAGUGUAGAGGUGAAAUUCGUAGAUAUUCGCAAGAACACCAGUGGCGAAGGCGGCUUACUGGUCCGGUUCUGACGCUGAGGCGCGAAAGCGUGGGGGAGCAAACAGG